rnacentral:snoRNA from 1 species
CUGCAUCCACUGCUAGUCCUUGAACAAUUUGUGGUUGUUCUUCAGGUUUGCACUAGGAUGCAAAAGAAAAUACUCUCUGGGCUUUCUGUCUUUGUGGCUGUCCAGAUUGAAUUGGGGAGUACAUAU